AGAGUUUGAUCCUGGCUCAGGAUGAACGCUAGCUACAGGCUUAACACAUGCAAGUCGAGGGGAAACGACAUCGAAAGCUUGCUUUUGAUGGGCGUCGACCGGCGCACGGGUGAGUAACGCGUAUCCAACCUGCCCAUCACGUUGGGGAUAACCUUGCGAAAGUAAGACUAAUACCCAAUGACGUCUCUAGAAGACAUCUGAAAGAGAUUAAAGAUUUAUCGGUGAUGGAUGGGGAUGCGUCUGAUUAGCUUGUUGGCGGGGUAACGGCCCACCAAGGCGACGAUCAGUAGGGGUUCUGAGAGGAAGGUCCCCCCANAUUGGAACUGAGACACGGUCCAAACUCCUACGGGAGGCA
rnacentral:rRNA from 1 species